rnacentral:lncRNA from 1 species
UUGAUUUCUAUUGCUUUGUUUGAUCCUUUGUUUCUACAAAGGGAUACAUAAGUAUAUAUAGGAGCAAAACUGACCUACAUCUAUACGUACUCGGUUACUGCUCCUAGUCCGAUCCGGACAGGACUACUUGAUCGUGGUUAAUUCCAACACUUUGGAGGUGUGGCCUCUGACAGCGAUUGCUAAUGUUACGUGGAUACAUGGCCGUACCAGGUCUCUGUCGCUGCCAUGCAUUUCUGUUCUGGCCUCUUCAGUAGCUUAACCACACUAUGCACAGGAAGCGACUGUUGGUCAUUCUCAUUCUCAGAUUAUUGGCCAUGAGGUCACAAAGAGCGGUGAGCAGAAGUCAAAAGCAGAAACAUAGCAGCCUGGACCGUAGGCUAUCUCGUAACAGCAAUGGUCAGUCAAGGAAAAGUUUCUGAACGCUCUUGAGCACACAACCAAUUCCCUACAAGUCUCAAUCCCAUGACUUGCUAUUUGGAUCCGGCCCAUGAUCCCAUCCAAUUUGUUUUGUCUCUCUUCCUCCGACUCUUCAACUUCGCAACAGAUGUAGGUGGUAGCUGAGGUAUAAUGUUUGCUCUAUGUUACUGCGUCUACCUUUUAUAACAUGUUUGGCUAGGUGUACAUGUAGGUAGUUUAUGAAGGCUCUGGUGCUAGGCAGUACGUUUACCACAGUGUUACAAAGCUGCUAGUCCAUCUUCUUGUCAGACCAAAAUAAAAUUCGCACUUUGACAGGUUUCAAUAAUUCCUCUAUAAAUCUCAAGAUGUCUUGUUGCAUUAGAAUAAGAUCUCUGCGCCUGAUAUACAUCCUGUCAUGGAUAAUACUGCGACCAAAUUGCAACGAUGACAUGGAAAAUUGGACACCAACGAUGGUCGGUUCAUGUUUUGUCAACGUGGUCCUCUCGUCCCAUAAUUCUUGUCUUUGUUUUAGUUUAAAUUUAAACUGAAACAAUGAUAAGAAUCAUGGGACGGAGGGAGUAUAUGUUAACGGUAAUCCGUUUGAGCACCUCGGUAAUUAAGGAGAACGAUUACAGCCUUAUAAGAAUUUCCUCUAUAAAAUAUACCAUAGAGAUAAAUUGGACGGAGUUUGCAUGUUUGUCAGUUGGAAUCAGGUUCGUGGAGUAGAUUGAGGGUCAUCGACCUUAAAAAGUGAUACAUAAUUCAAUAAACAGACAAAAGACGUUCCAGGAUCGGCAGUAUAGAGGAUGCCUAUUUUUCUAUGAUACAGCAAUUUAUAUUGGUUGGCAACAUGGCAUGUUCCUAUAUAUGCCUCAAGGUCGCUCAAAUGACCAAAAACACCGAGGGACAUUGUCAUGAGCUCUGCCAUCUUUGUGGCUAACUCACUGAAGCCCAAAGGCACUUGAUGUUGCCCUACGCAAGGGGGUGUGGCAGCUAAUUGUAGACUAGGUGGAGAAAUUUGGUUGCUACUCAAAUCUCAGCACGCGAUACUUGUUGAAGUACAUACCCUGCCUUCCUUAUCUAGAAAAGCUAACAAUUUAAAUAUACUGAGCAGAUUUGGUCGAGAAAAAUAGAGUGUUUGACCAAAAGGUAUUCAAUAGCAUGAUUCUGCCAUGUCAUUUGUAAAUAUUGUGUUCAUUUACCUUUUGAUCGAAAUAUAAUAGUGAUAAUGGGCAUGUCAUGUGCAUGACUAAUUUUUGUAAGUUUCCAUGUUACUUGUAGUGCCCCUUCUCUCGCGUCGUAG